rnacentral:piRNA from 1 species
UGUGAAACUGUGGCUAUGGAUCCCCU